rnacentral:rRNA from 1 species
GCAGUAGCCGCGGUAAUACAGAGGGUGCGAGCGUUAAUCGGAUUUACUGGGCGUAAAGCGUGCGUAGGCGGCUUCUUAAGUCGGAUGUGAAAUCCCUGAGCUUAACUUAGGAAUUGCAUUCGAUACUGGGAAGCUAGAGUAUGGGAGAGGAUGGUAGAAUUCCAGGUGUAGCGGUGAAAUGCGUAGAGAUCUGGAGGAAUACCGAUGGCGAAGGCAGCCAUCUGGCCUAAUACUGACGCUGAGGUACGAAAGCAUGGGGAGCAAACAGGAUUAGAUACCCUGUAGUCCCUGUCUCUUAUACC